rnacentral:tRNA from 1 species
AAGGAUUUAAGUUAAAAUUAAACUAAUAACCUUCAAAGUUAUAAAUAGAUUGAAUGGCUAAUCUAAGCCUUA